GUCAGUUUGGCCGAGUGGUUAAGGCGACAGACUAGAAAUCUGUUGGGCAUUGCCCGCACAGGUUCAAAUCCUGUAGCUGACG
rnacentral:tRNA from 15 species